CACACGUGUGCUCUUCCGAUCAGAUUUUUCAAUCGCUGUGCACUAACAUUAAAUUAUACAUAUUAGUAAUGCGAGAAUGAGCGUAAUUAAUAAAUCUCACCACGCCAUAUUUCACCGCAUAUCAAAAGCUCCCGAUUAAACCGUGACGUACAACACAGUAUAAAACCGAUCUGUUUUC